UCUUUACAUAUGAGGAGGUACUUGAAAGGUCUUGAUGAACAUUUUGGUCAAAAGUUGGGAACCACUGCCUGUGAUACUGUGUUGCACUUGCAGGAUAGUUCACGGGCAGUUGUGUUCGAUCCCCAUUGAUCACAGUUCACGGUCUAUGGCAGACUCUAGGCAUCUUGGGCAAAAUGCCCACUAAUCCAUGGCUGCUCAUUGAGGAAUACUGUAAAAUACUUUAGAAAUACACUUGUUAAAAUCCCCUUCUGUAAGCUUCAUCCAAGUUUUCUCUUGUGUAAUAUCUUGGUAACGAAACAGGAAACAAGGUGUCACUCCACCCAUGGCAGCUCUGGUUUCCGGCCCUGAAUCUAUACCAUCUCCCCCAAGAGGCUCUGCCAUAACCUAGUAGGACCAGCCUGGGAACCAGACCAAUACAGUGGGACUGCCUCUGAACUCAUGGGGGCGCUGUAAUUCAUGAAGAUUUGUUUUAACUCCUCUCUCUUCAAGAAACAAGGUGUCACUCCACCCAUGGCAGCUCUGGUUUCCGGCCCUGAAUCUAUACCAUCUCCCCCAAGAGGCUCUGCCAUAACCUAGUAGGACCAGCCUGGGAACCAGACCAAUACAGUGGGACUGCCUCUGAACUCAUGGUGAGUCGCUUGGCUCAUAGUUUAGGACUCUAUCCUGAUGAUGCCCAAAUAAUGGUGACCUUUGACUUCUAGGGGGCGCUGUAAUUCAUGAAGAUGUGUUUUAACUCCUCUCUCUUCAAGUGAGUAUGUUUCAAACUUAUUGUCAAUGUCUGGUGAUACUGCCAGACCAAUCCAUAUCGCUAAUAAAUUAUUUCUCAUGGAAACAUCUGAAUUUAGCCGCCAUGUUGAAAGUUGUCAAAAUCAAUAGUACAUAUCCACAGGCCACAAAUUCUGUACAAUCUUCAUGAAACUUGCCCGAUAUGAUCUUCAGACCAAGUUGAACAAAUGCGUCAAACAUUUUGGCCAUGACAGCCAAUCAAAUUUGACGGUGAAGCCGCCUAACAGGAUUAUUACUGUGGUCAUUACAGUACAUAUCCACAGGCCACAAAUUCCGUACAAUCUUCAUGAAACUUGCCCGAUAUGAUCUUCAGACCAAGUUGAACAAAUGCGUCAAACAUCUUUUUCAAAUUCAAAACAUUUUGGCCGUGACAGCCAAUCAAAUUUGACGGUGAAGCCGCCAAACAGGAAGUAAGCCCAUUUCUCAGUAACUCUUUAACAUAUCAUAGCCAAACUUGCCAAACAGGAAGCAAGCCAACUUUUCAG